rnacentral:lncRNA from 1 species
CUCUAUCAUAAUUCCUAGACAAAAGGGAUAAAGAUAAGGGUGCAGUGUAAUGUAGAUCAGAGAGAGAAAUAGUCUUUUUACAUCCCACACCUAUUCCAGCAGUGCAUUUUUUUAUCUAAAUAAGUCAGUAAAAAAGAAAUUUUUGCACAAGGAAGGUGCUGUACAGCCAUCAGUGAAACUAAAAUAAUGUAAGAACCCAUUUUGGGACUAAGGAUCUAAUCUGUGAAUUUGGCUAAGAGUAGUUAGUGCUGGGUUUUCCAAACAGCAAGACAUGCCUUUGAAAUUUGGGGAUGUUUUUAUUUUGUGUUUGGUGAUGAGAAGAAAUCAAUGCAGUCCAAGUCUUGAGCAAUAUGGUAACUUUACCCAAUUCCAUAUUUUUCCAGGGUUUGGCUUUUCCAUUUCCUUUGAAUUAUCUGGAUAAUUUUUUCUGAAAUCUGACAUGUGUUAUACCUAAAAUAGACAAAAGUACCACAGAGAGGUGUGAUGGGGAUGAAUGAUUGCAUGGAAUUUUGAAAAUCACAAUUAGCUGGUGAAUAAUAAUAUGAGACAAAGCUUCAGUCAGCAGAUAUCUAUUUAUAGACGUGUGUAUCAAGUAUAAAUUAGGUUCUGCUUGAAUUGAAAUCAGAAUAAUCUCGUUUAGUUUUGGUUUGGUUUUUUUCUUUCAGCUCCAGUUGAAAUAAUGUCAUAUGAUUUAUGUCCAAAAUAAGAAUAUCCAGGACUGUGUAAAAAGAAGUGAUAUUCAUCGGACAGGUAAGGGGAGCAACAGGAGACCUUUAGUUAUGUGACUUUAUUCUGCGCACUGCACAUUGAGGAGAUGACCCUGCUAUGGCAAAGGUAUGUGCAGAGGAAUCUGAAAAAAGGGCUUAUAAGAACUCAAAAGAUAUCGUAUAUUCAGUAGCCGUACCAACUUUUAUCCCAUUCAUGAAGUAUGACCCAAAAGAAAAAUGAAAUUUAUCUUCCUUCAUUUCAUCCCUCAAGAAAUAACAAAAGAAUCUGCAAACACAUUUUGCAAAAUAUCUAAGCUGCCAAAAUGGACCCUGAAAGCAGAGCCUUCAGUCUUCUGCACUCUACUAAUUCAAAACCACCAUGACUUUAUAUUGAUGCAAAUUGAACUAUUUUAUUUUGCUCCUCCCUCUUUGCUGUCCUUGUCACGAGCAAAUAUAAAAGAUUUUAUCCUUUCCUCAAGAAGAUAACAAAACAGAAACAAACCAGUGAGGAGACAGGAUCUCUUUCAGCAACAGAACUCUAUAGAUAAGGCGCUUGAAAUAUGUCCUGCACCAAGGCAAUAUUUCUGCAGAGCUUUCACUAAUGACUGGCCUGAAACUCUCCUGUGUAACAAAGAUUUCAACACAUAAAGGUAUCUCAAUGAAACAUUAAACACAGUUUUAGUGGAAGGUAGAGCAUUAUGGGGUACAUGGGUGAAUGACAGAUAAAAUCCAAGUGAAGUGUGUCUGCCAAACUAGUACAGCCAUUGCUAUGUAAAAAUGUACACGCUGGAAUAUUAGAUUCAUGCAGGACAAAAGCUUAUCAUAAAUCUACUAAUAAGGGCUAGACUGCAGAUUUGCAAAUGUGAACUGAAAAGCAACCCUGAACCUACAGAAAACUGCAUUACCAGUGAAAUCUGUCAAAGGAAAUUCUAGGAACAAUGAAGUACACAUAUACCUGGGAAUCUUCUGGGACUUUAGGAGACAGUAAAUCAGUUUGUUGUGAAAUUUCUUUCCAGCAAUAUCAGAGUUACAUUAAAGAUUUGUGGUUUUCUGCUCAGAUUAAUUAUUUGCCUUUGAGGAUGUCGGUUGCAUUGGAAAGCAGAUGAAUGCCAAGCAAUCUAUGUAAGAUUUUUUAAUUGUCAGUAUAUGUCCAAGUCACUUGCCAAACAAAAAGGCAAAACUACACAAGCAUGUACUGAGAAACUUGAUUAACAAUCUCUUCCACUGUCUUAUAAGUGUUUAAUUUCAUUAAUUCUACCAUAACUUUUCCAUCCAAAUGAUUUGAACACAAUAAAAACCUUGUUAAUUAAAAAAAUGAACA